AAAGCCAUGAGGUCAAAGGAACUGCCUGCAGAGCUCAGAGACAGUGUUGGAGCCAUAUAGUAAUUUAGAUGACGUCAGAGGUGAUGGACUGCUGCUUCUUCUUCUGCCACAUGAGGAGGACGCACUGGUGGAUGAACACAUUUAGGUGCCAGAGUCUGACCUCGGUCUGGACCAUGGACAGACGGUGGGAUCUCAUCUCAGACACCAUGCCCAGGAUGUCGACAAACUCGUGCUCUCUGA